rnacentral:rRNA from 1 species
CGAUUGACGGAGCGAAGCGACGUCAAAGCGUUCAUUAAAGUCGAGUUGGCUUAGGGAUACGUUCGUUGGGUAGGGGAGCGUUCUGUAAGCCUGUGAAGGUGUGUCGUGAGGCAUGCUGGAGGUAUCAGAAGUGCGAAUGCUGACAUAAGUAACGAUAAAGCGGGUGAAAAGCCCGCUCGCCGGAAGACCAAGGGUUCCUGUCCAACGUUAAUCGGGGCAGGGUGAGUCGACCCCUAAGGCGAGGCCGAAAGGCGUAGUCGAUGGGAAACGGGUUAAUAUUCCCGUACUUGGUGUUACUGCGAAGGGGGGACGGAGAAGGCUAUGUUGGCCGGGCGACGGUUGUCCCGGUUUAAGCGUGUAGGUGUGUGUUCCAGGUAAAUCCGGUUCACUUUAACACUGAGGCGUGAUGACGAGGCACUACGGUGCUGAAGCAACAAAUGCCCUGCUUCCAGGAAAAGCCUCUAAGCAUCAGGUAACAUCAAAUCGUACCCCAAACCGACACAGGUGGUCAGGUAGAGAAUACCAAGGCGCUUGAGAGAACUCGGGUGAAGGAACUAGGCAAAAUGGUGCCGUAACUUCGGGAGAAGGCACGCUGACACGUAGGUGAAGUGAUUUACUCAUGGAGCUGAAGUCAGUCGAAGAUACCAGCUGGCUGCAACUGUUUAUUAAAAACACAGCACUGUGCAAACACGAAAGUGGACGUAUACGGUGUGACGCCUGCCCGGUGCCGGAAGGUUAAUUGAUGGGGUCAGCGUAAGCGAAGCUCCUGAUCGAAGCCCCGGUAAACGGCGGCCGUAACUAUAACGGUCCUAAGGUAGCGAAAUUCCUUGUCGGGUAAGUUCCGACCUGCACGAAUGGCGUAAUGAUGGCCAGGCUGUCUCCACCCGAGACUCAGUGAAAUUGAACUCGCUGUGAAGAUGCAGUGUACCCGCGGCAAGACGGAAAGACCCCGUGAACCUUUACUAUAGCUUGACACUGAACAUUGAGCCUUGAUGUGUAGGAUAGGUGGGAGGCUUUGAAGUGUGGACGCCAGUCUGCAUGGAGCCGACCUUGAAAUACCACCCUUUAAUGUUU